UGGAGAGAGCAGAGUCACCAACUCUGAGUUAUGCAUCAGCAAAAAGUCACCAGUCACUGAAUACGGAUGAAGAAGACGAGGAGGUGAACUCAGCUCAAAAAGAGAAAAACAAUUUGAAGCAUCUCCAGCUACGUACAGAUAGUCAUAUGUCUAUGAGUGACCAGAUUGACCAGUCAGUGAAUUCAAGCAUAGACCCAAGUGAUGAUGGAGACCAAACCAAGGAUGAAAGGCCAGGAGAGGUGGUCUGUGAUGUCUGUGAUGAGGUCAGAGCUGUGAAAUUCUGUCUGACCUGCACUCAGUCC